AUUUAAUUAAGUAAUAUAUUAACAAUGAUUAUACCAAUAUAAUGCGCGGGUAAAAGCCUAGUUACAAGAACUUACAGAAGUAUUGUUGCUGAUUCACAGAUUUAGGGAAGAAACUGUGGUUUGUCAAUUUAGAGGUUUUGUUUUCCUUGCCAGUGUUUUUCAAUUUUCUUUUCCUAUUUUUCCACUUUCAUACAAGUUUUUCUCAAUCCUGAAAUGCUAUCAUAGGAUAUCCCUUUACAGCUGCUUAUGCAGAAGUAAAUUUCCAAUGCUAUGGCCG
rnacentral:misc_RNA from 1 species